rnacentral:rRNA from 1 species
CCUACGGGAGGCUGCAGUGAGGAAUAUUGCGCAAUGGGCGAAAGCCUGACGCAGCGACGCCGCGUGAGGGAUGAAGGUCUUCGGAUCGUACACCUCUGUCAGCAGGGAAGAACGGUCACUGUGCUAAUCAGCAGUGAAUUGACGGUACCUGAAAAGGAAGCACCGGCUAACUCCGUGCCAGCAGCCGCGGUAAUACGGAGGGUGCGAGCGUUAAUAGGAAUUACUGGGAGUAAAGAGCUCGUUGGCGGUAUGUCAAGUCAAGGGUGAAAUCCCCGGGCUCAACGUGGGAAAGGCCGUUGAAACUGGCAAACUGGAGUGUGUGAGAGGAUAGUGGAAUUCCAGGUGUAGCAGUGAAAUCCGUAGAUAUCUGGAGGAACAUCAGUGGCGAAGGCGACUAUCUGGCACAUAACUGACGCUGAGGAGCGAAAGCGUGGGUAGCAAACAGGAUUAGAUACCCGUGUAGUC